rnacentral:rRNA from 1 species
UACGAAGGGGGGCUAGCGUUGUUCGGAAUUAUUGGGCGUAAAGGGCGCGUAGGCGGCUUUGCAAGUGGCGGGUGAAAUCCCUCGGCUUAACCGAGGAACUGCCUGUCAAACUGCAUGGCUUGAGACCAGGAGAGGUGAGUGGAAUUCCCAGUGUAGCGGUGAAAUGCGUAGAUAUUGGGAGGAACACCAGUGGCGAAGGCGGCUCACUGGACUGGUACUGACGCUGAUGCGCGAAAGCGUGGGGAGCAAACAGGG